CAAUGGGUUUAUCUAUAAGUGGUUUAUCAAUGGGUUUAUCAGUAGCUUGUUCAUCAAUGGGUUUAUCAAUAGCUUCUUUACCAAUGGGUUUAUCUAUAAGUGGCUUAUCAAAGGAUUUAUCCCCAGGUGGUUUAUCAAUGGGUUUAUCAAUAACUUGUCUAUCAAUGGGAUGUUGGUGAAUGGGGUUUUUAUGAAUGGGAUGUUUGUAAAUUGCUGGUGAGUGGGUUUAUCAAUGGGUUUAUUGAUGGGUUUAUCAAUGGAUUUAUCGAUGGGCCUAUCAGUGGGUUUAUUGAUGGGUUUAUCAAUAGAUUUAUAGAUGGGUCUAUCAAUGGGGUUAUCAAUGGGUUUAUCAGUGGGUUAAUUAAUGGGUUUAUCAAUGAAUUUGCUAAGCCUAUCAAUGGAUUUAUUGAUAGGUUUAUCAAUCGGUUAAUUAAUGGGUUUAUCAAUGGAUUUAUUAAGCCUAUCAAUGGGUUUAUUGAUGGGCCUAUCAAUGGAUUUAUUGAUGGAUUUAUAAAUGGGUUUAUCAAUGGAUUUAUUAAUGGGCCUAUCAGUGGGUUUAUUGAUGGGUUUAUCAAUCGGUUAAUUAAUAGGUUUAUCAAUGGAUUUAUUAAGCCUAUCAAUGGGUUUAUUGAUGGGUUUAUCAAUAGACUUAUUGAUGGGUCUGUCGAUGGAUUUAUCGAUGGGUCUAUCAAUGGGUUUAUCAAUGGAUUUACUGAUGGGUCUAUCAAUGGAUCUAUCAUUGCAUUUAUCAAUGGAUUCAUCGAUGAGUCUAUCAAUGGUUUUAUCAAUGGAUUUAUUGAUGGGUUUAUCAAUGGGUUUACUGAUGGGUUUAUCGAUGGGUUUAUUGAUGGAUCUAUUAAUGGGUUUAUCAAUGGAUUUAUUGAUGGGUCUAUUAAUGGGCUAAUUGAUGGGUUUAUCAGUGGAUCUUUUGGUAUUGAUGGGUUUAUCGAUGGGUUUAUUGAUGGGUCUAUUAAUGGGCUAAUUGAUGGGUUUAUCAGUGGAUCUUUUGGUAUUGAUGGGUUUAUCGAUGGGUUUAUCAAUGGAUUUUUUGAUACCAAUGGGUUUAUCAAUGGAUUUAUCGAUGGAUUUAUUGGUGACUUUAUCAAUGAGUUUAUUAAUGGGUCUAUCAAUGGGUUUAUUAAUGGGGCUGUCGAUGGCUCUGUCAAUGGUUUAUCAAUGGAUUUAUUGAUAGACCUAUCAGUGGGUUUAUCAAUGGAUUUAUUGAUGGGUUUAUCAAUGGAUUUUUUUGAUAUUAAUGCAUUUACUGAUGGGUUUAUCAAUGGGUUUAUUGAUGAGUUUAUCAAUGGAUUUAUCAAUGUGUCUAUCAAUGCGUUUACUGAUGGGUCUGUCAAUAGGUCUAUCAAUGGGUCUAUCAAUGGAUUUAUCGAUGGGUCUAUCAAUGAUUUUAUCGAUGGGUUUAUCAAUGGAUUUAUCAAUGGGGUUAUCGAUGGAUUUAUCGGUGGGUCUAUCAAUAGGUUCAUCGAUGGGUCUAUCAAUGGAUUUAUCAAUGGGUCAAUCAAUGGGUUUAUCAAUGGGUCUAUCAAUGGGUCUAUCAAUGGAUUUAUUGAUGGGUUUAUCAAUAGGCCUAUCAAUGGGUUUAUCAAUAGGUCUAUCAAUGGGUUUAUCAAUAGGUCUAUCAAUGGGUUUAUCAAUGGGUCAAUCAAUAGACCUAUCGAUGGGUUUAUCAAUAGGCCUAUCGAUGGGUUUAUCAAUAGGUCUAUCAAUGGGUUUAUCAAUGGGUCAAUCAAUAGGCCUAUCGAUGGGUUUAUCAGUGGGUCUAUCGAUGGGUUUAUCAAUAGGCCUAUCGAUGGGUUUAUCAGUGGGUCUAUCGAUGGGUUUAUCAAUGGGUUUAUCAAUGGGUUUAUCAAUGGGUUUAUCAGUGGGUUUCUCAAUGACUCGUCUCUGCACUGACAACCGAAGCACAUNNNNNNNNNNNNNNNNNNNNNNNNNNNNNNNNNNNNNNNNNNNNNNNNNNNNNNN
ensembl:lncRNA